GAUGAACGCUGGCGGCGUGCCUAAUACAUGCAAGUCGAGCGAACGGACGAGAAGCUUGCUUCUCUGAUGUUAGCGGCGGACGGGUGAGUAACACGUGGAUAACCUACCUAUAAGACUGGGAUAACUUCGGGAAACCGGAGCUAAUACCGGAUAAUAUUUUGAACCGCAUGGUUCAAAAGUGAAAGACGGUCUUGCUGUCACUUAUAGAUGGAUCCGCGCUGCAUUAGCUAGUUGGUAAGGUAACGGCUUACCAAGGCAACGAUGCAUAGCCGACCUGGGAGGUGGAUCGGCCACACUGGAACUGAGACACGGUCCAGACUCCUACGGGAGGCAGCAGUAGGGAAUCUUCCGCAAUGGGCGAAAGCCUGACGGAGCAACGCCGCGUGAGUGAUGAAGGUCUUCGGAUCGUAAAACUCUGUUAUUAGGGAAGAACAUAUGUGUAAGUAACUGUGCACAUCUUGACGGUACCUAAUCAGAAAGCAACGGCUAACUACGUG
rnacentral:rRNA from 1 species